CGUCUGUUUAGAUGUGGACUGCUUUUGAGAUUUAGAAGGCUGAUUGGGAUGUGUGCUUACAUUGUAAUUCAAUGAUGUAAACGUUUAUGUUCAUAGGGUGGUAGAGCUGGCAUGACUAAUUUGGCAAUAUUAUGUUAUAUAAGAUGUUGAAAGAUUGUGUGAUUUGCAUGAUUCUCGAUGCAUUAUCCGCUCUUAGGUGUGAAUCAGCCAUUUUCAAGGUAUGUCCCGUUAUGUGAAGGAUAUGCCAUCCUUUGAUCAACUGUACCCAGAUUGAUCGAAAAAUUGAUCUGGAAAAGGUCAUGUACUGCAAAAGGUCUAUUUUUCGAUCAAUCUGGGUACAGUUGAU
rnacentral:misc_RNA from 1 species